UACGGAGGGUGCAAGCGUUAUCCGGAUUCACUGGGUUUAAAGGGUGCGUAGGUGGGCAGGUAAGUCAGUGGUGAAAUCUCCGGGCUUAACCCGGAAACUGCCGUUGAUACUAUUUGUCUUGAAUAUUGUGGAGGUAAGCGGAAUAUGUCAUGUAGCGGUGAAAUGCUUAGAUAUGACAUAGAACACCAAUUGCGAAGGCAGCUUACUACACAACGAUUGACGCUGAGGCACGAAAGCGUGGGGAUCAAACAGG
rnacentral:rRNA from 1 species